UGGGGGAUAUUGCACAAUGGGCGAAAGCCUGAUGCAGCAACGCCGCGUGAGGGAAGACGGUUUUCGGAUUGUAAACCUCUGUCUUUGGUGAAGAAAGAAAUGACGGUAGCCGAGGAGGAAGCCACGGCUAACUACGUGCCAGCAGCCGCGGUAAUACGUAGGUGGCAAGCGUUGUCCGGAAUUACUGGGUGUAAAGGGAGCGCAGGCGGGAGAGCAAGUCAGCUGUGAAAACUAUGGGCUUAACCCAUAAACUGCAGUUGAAACUGUUUUUCUUGAGGGGAGUAGAGGUAGGAGGAAGUCGGAGUGUGGCGGUGAAAUGCGUAGAUAUUCGGAGGAACACCAGUGGAGAAGGCGGCCUACUGGGCUCUAACUGACGCUGGAGGUCGAAAGUGUGGGGAGCAAACAGGAUUAGAUACCCUGGUC
rnacentral:rRNA from 1 species